UAAAAAGGUAUUUUAAUCCCAUAC
rnacentral:miRNA from 1 species